GACGAACCGUGCAAACGUUGUUCGGAAUCACUGGGCUUAAAGGGCGCGUAGGCGGGCAAGCAAGUCGAAGGUGAAAUCCCACGGCUCAACCGUGGAAGUGCCCCCGAUACUGCUUGUCUUGAGGGAGAUAGGGGCGUGCGGAACUUCCGGUGGAGCGGUGAAAUGCGUAGAUAUCGGAAGGAACACCGGUGGCGAAGGCGGCUCACUGGACCGGUACUGACGCUGAUGCGCGAAAGCGUGGGGAGCAA
rnacentral:rRNA from 1 species